UUUAAAUUGAGAGUUUGAUCCUGGCUCAGGAUGAACGCUGGUGGCGUGCCUAAUACAUGCAAGUCGUACGCUAGCCGCUGAAUUGAUCCUUCGGGUGAAGUGAGGCAAUGACUAGAGUGGCGAACUGGUGAGUAACACGUAAGAAACCUGCCCUUUAGUGGGGGAUAACAUUUGGAAACAGAUGCUAAUACCGCGUAACAACAAAUCACACAUGUGAUCUGUUUGAAAGGUCCUUUUGGAUCGCUAGAGGAUGGUCUUGCGGCGUAUUAGCUUGUUGGUAGGGUAGAAGCCUACCAAGGCAAUGAUGCGUAGCCGAGUUGAGAGACUGGCCG
rnacentral:rRNA from 1 species